GACGAACCGUCCAAACGUUAUUCGGAAUUACUGGGCGUAAAGCGUGCGUAGACGGCUAUCUAAGUCGGGUGUGAAAGCCCCGGGCUCAACCUGGGAAUUGCAUUCGAGACUGAAUAGCUAGGGUGCGGUAGAGGGAAGCGGAAUUUCCGGUGUAGCGGUGAAAUGCGUAGAUAUCGGAAGGAACAUCAGUGGCGAAAGCGGCUUCCUGGACCAGCACCGACGUUCAGGCACGAAAGCGUGGGGAGCAAACAGG
rnacentral:rRNA from 1 species